UGGGGAAUCUUGCGCAAUGGGCGAAAGCCUGACGCAGCGACGCCGCGUGCGGGAUGACGGCCUGGUUGUAACCGCUUUCAGCAGGGACGAGGCCGCAAGGUGACGGUACCUGCAGAAGAAGCCCGGCUAACUACGUGCCAGCAGCGCGGUAAUCGCUCACU
rnacentral:rRNA from 1 species